rnacentral:tRNA from 1 species
UGGAUCACCUCCUAACAGGGAGACAACAACUGAUUUUGAUGUCUGAGUAAUUUAUUCUCAGGCCAUGAUCCUGUCAUCUCUAAGGUCGAUCGGUACCUCAAUGGAAACGUUGGAAGUUGAAUGAGCCGUAAGGUGAGUUUAACUGUCCAAACAAUCUUUUCAGUUCCUAAACUUUGUCUAGGUCACCCCAACAAACGGGUAAACAAGCUCCUGGGCCAUUAGCUCAGGUGGUUAGAGCGCACCCCUGAUAAGGGUGAGGUCCCUGGUUCAAGUCCAGGAUGGCCCUUCGUGUUUGGGGGUUUAGCUCAGUUGGUAGAGCGCCUGCUUUGCAAGCAGGAUGUCAGCGGUUCGAGUCCGCUAACCUCCAUCCAACGCUAACCCUUGAUUACGAAAGUUCCACAGGAGAACCAGUAGAGGUGACUAGACGGUGCAAGCUGAGCGAAUCAGACUCCAGCCUCAUUGCAUGCCAAGCUUAAGAUCAUAGUCAAGAUUUUUUGACUGAUUGAAGAAGCUAGGUUGCAGCGAUGCUGGACUCAAUGCUUUCUGGAAACAGGAAGCAAUGACGUUCAAGCAAAGAACCUUGACAACUGCAUAGGUGAAUCUGGAAAUAAAGCAUCUCAUAGAUGCUUGAUUCUAGUAUUUUAUCCAUCAAUCGCAUGAGCAAUCAAGCGAGCUGAGGGUAAGAUAAGAGAAUCAAGAAAGUUCUUGAGUUUAGAGCCGAGAGCUUUCAGUGUUCUUAGCCACCGCCGAGGUGUGCUGAGUCUGAUCCUUGAUUCAAACCGUUACUGCCAGUGAAUGCUGAAAGUAAAGGGUGAAUCUUGAGAGAAUGGGUUUCAACAGCCUGAAGCAUUGGAA